AAAACUUUCAACAACGGAUCUCUUGGUUCUGGCAUCGAUGAAGAACGCAGCAAAUGCGAUAAGUAAUGUGAAUUGCAGAAUUCAGUGAAUCAUCGAAUCUUUGAACGCACAUUGCGCCUUCUGGAAAUUCCGAAAGNCAUACCUGUUCGAGCGUCAUUC
rnacentral:rRNA from 1 species